GACGAACGCUGGCGGCGUGCCUGAUACAUGCAAGUCGAACGCUUCUUUCCUCCCGAGUGCUUGCACUCAAUUGGAAAGAGGAGUGGCGGACGGGUGAGUAACACGCGGGUAACCUACCCAUCAGAGGGGGAUAACACUUGGAAACAGGUGCUAAUACCGCAUAACAGUUUAUGCCGCAUGGCAUAAGAGUGAAAGGCGCUUUCGGGUGUCGCUGAUGGAUGGACCCGCGGUGCAUUAGCUAGUUGGUGAGGUAACGGCUCACCAAGGCCACGAUGCAUAGCCGACCUGAGAGGGUGAUCGGCCACACUGGGACUGAGACACGGCCCAGACUCCUACGGGAGGCAGCAGUAGGGAAUCUUCGGCAAUGGACGGAAGUCUGACCGAGCAACGCCGCGUGAGUGAAGAAGGUUUUCGGAUCGUAAAACUCUGUUGUUAGAGAAGAACAAGGACGUUAGUAACUGAACGUCCCCUGACGGUAUCUAACCAGAAAGCCACGGCUAACUACGUGCCAGCCGCCGCAGUAA
rnacentral:rRNA from 1 species